AUUGAACGCUGGCGGCAGGCCUAACACAUGCAAGUCGAGCGGAUGAAGGGAGCUUGCUCCUGGAUUCAGCGGCGGACGGGUGAGUAAUGCCUAGGAAUCUGCCUGGUAGUGGGGGAUAACGUCCGGAAACGGGCGCUAAUACCGCAUACGUCCUGAGGGAGAAAGUGGGGGAUCUUCGGACCUCACGCUAUCAGAUGAGCCUAGGUCGGAUUAGCUAGUUGGUGGGGUAAAGGCCUACCAAGGCGACGAUCCGUAACUGGUCUGAGAGGAUGAUCAGUCACACUGGAACUGAGACACGGUCCAGACUCCUACGGGAGGCAGCAGUGGGGAAUAUUGGACAAUGGGCGAGAGCCUGAUCCAGCCAUGGCGCGUGUGUGAAGGAGGUCUUCGGAUUGUAAAGCACUUUAAGUUGGGAGGAAGGGCAGUAAGUUAAGACCUUGCUGUUUUGACGUUACCAACAGAAUAAGCACCGGCUAACUUCGUG
rnacentral:rRNA from 1 species